GAUGAACGCUGGCGGCGUGCCUAAUACAUGCAAGUCGAGCGAACGGACGAGAAGCUUGCUUCUCUGAUGUUAGCGGCGGACGGGUGAGUAACACGUGGAUAACCUACCUAUAAGACUGGGAUAACUUCGGGAAACCGGAGCUAAUACCGGAUAAUAUUUUGAACCGCAUGGUUCAAAAGUGAAAGACGGUCUUGCUGUCACUUAUAGAUGGAUCCGCGCUGCAUUAGCUAGUUGGUAAGGUAACGGCUUACCAAGGCGACGAUGCAUAGCCGACCUCAGAGCGGGGUAGCCCACCCUGGAGCUGCGCCGCCGUCAUGGGUCCUGCGGGACGGCGCAGUCGGGAAUGUGCCGCAACGGGCGGAAGUAUGACAGAGCGACGCGGAGUGAGAGACAGAGGUGUUCCGAUCGUAAUACCGGGUUACUAGUUAAGAACCGAUGUGUACGGAACUGUGCACAGCGUGACGGUAACUAAUAAGAAAGCACCGGCUAACUACGUG
rnacentral:rRNA from 1 species